CUUGUUGACCAUACCACCUGACCCAGUCUGAUCUCGGAACCCAAGCAGAGUAGGGCCUGGUUAGUACUUGAAUGGGAGACUCAACAAUCUCUGGUGGCAUCGGUAGGU
ensembl:rRNA 5S_rRNA 5S ribosomal RNA